UGCUUGUAUUUGUAAUAUCUUUGUGCUAAAAAAAGAGUAAUAGAUUUAAGUGUGAGGUCUCAUAUGGUGUAUGGAACAACAUGAAGGACAAGAAAUGAUGCCCAAGUACAUGGUUAAAGAAUGUGAUUAGUUGCCAAAAUUGAUGGUUAAUCAGCUUUCACAUCACUUGGAAUGCUGUAUAUGUUUUAUGACAUGAUCUUACUUUGCAAUGAAACUUCAAUCUACUGACCUUUUCCAUGCUUGGUCCUGCAUUGAUAGGCCUAACUAUCUCUAUUAUUUAUGUUUUCAUGUUUUUCUCGUAUACAACAGAGUACUUUUUACCUUUCUUAAUUAGAAACUUUACUUAAAUUUGUGAAUUGAGAUUUUUGCCACCAUGAAGGAAUUCUCCAUUAGAAUGCCUGAAAGGGUAAUGGAGGUGGAUUAGCAUGCAAGCCUAUAGAAAGAGUAGGAUUCUUUAAUCAGUGUUGCUCGAAACUAGUGUUGUAUUUAGAACCACAGAUGUUCUUAACUAAAUGAGACUUUUGAUCAAUUUAUUAUGUGCAUGAUGAUAGAACACGGUGAAGAUAACUAUUCUAUUUUCAUAUUCUGGUGCCCAAUAAUUGUCGACGUAACUCUGUUGUUUUACUAGAAAAGUCGUGAAAUUUUAUUUUACUAUGGAAUAAAAUGAUACUGUACUAAUUCUUAGGUUUAAAGACAUGUAUAGGAAUAUAAUCCAGUGUUAGAUUAUUCAGAAUUUGCUGAAAUUUAUACUUGGUCUGGACUAUGAGAUUAUUUCUGAUAACCUUUCUCCUGUAUGAUCUCAUAAUGUAUUUGUAAUGUUUGUUAUAAUUUUUUUUUUUCUUUUGGC